rnacentral:ribozyme from 1 species
UUUUUACUGCAAGGUCAUAUCAGUGCGGAUGUCGAGAGCUCGCGGAGCCAUGCAACUUCGCCCA